AUCAGGGCAAUAAUCCCAGCACUCACAUAUCUCCUCUCUUCCGCCUUCGUCUCUGACGUCUCAACACGUCUUUCACAGUUUUGUAACCGACGAAAUUAAAGCGAGACACCACUCCCAGACGUUUAAUUUUUGAUGUUCAUGAUCGUAUUCAAUCGUAGCAUUCAAGGAUUUCGAAAUCCUUUCACCUCCCCCUGGCUUUGUAAAUUAUUUCAAACCCUAUAUAUAUGGAGCUUAAGGGAAUGACGCUGCUCAUAUUUUCUUCUCGAUCUCUAUUAUUAUUAUACAAAAGCAUCUCUAAGAAAGUUAAGAUAAUUUUAAAUCCUCAGAUGCUUCUGUUUGAGUUAAAAGCUGGUCGAAGUAAAGAAACUGUAGCUUGGGGAUCAGUAUGAUUCUGGUAUAUGAGCAGUCUAUGGUGAUCCAGGGGCUAUUAGCAUCCACAGCUUGAUUUAAGUGAAGUUAAAUGAUCCAUGGAGCAGAAUAGAGUUUCUCUGCGCUGGAGAAGUUGUUAGUAUUGACACUACUUAUGGGUGGUGCUACACUUCCUGCUCAAAAUGUUAUUCAAGAACGACAAGGCAGCUGGUGUUCUCAGCUCUGUGGGUCUGAUGGGACAUAUACUUUGGGUUUGCUGCAUUUGAUGGACAGAUGACUAAACUAACCAACGACCCGGGUUUGGAGGACCCCGAUCAAAGACCCCUACCACAGUGCUUAAAGGACUUGGAUGGUAGCACUUUCACUUUCCAGUUGAAGAUUUCACUUUCACUUCUCCUCAAAGCAUCAGUCCUUCACCAUGUCAAGGAUAUUUGACCGUAAUCAACGUCCACCAAUCCAAACUUUGCUGGAAAAACGGGAUGAUAAUAACCCAUGAGAUGACAUGCCUGGAGCUGAAGCAGUUAAAAACUAAGUCCUUGACUGAUGUCGCCAAGGUGGUCCUUGCCAACCACACUGGACUGCAAGCUUGUGGAGUGAUAGAGGAAGGAUCAGGCAUGAGUAGUGGAAGCCAUGAUCUGCUCCAUCGUGGUGGAGUCAGAGCUGACAGUGCAGAACUUCUGGUUGAUGUUGCACACCGUCGAGAAGGCCUGCAAUGGUUAGCUUCGCAUCACAAGGAGUGUUCAAGCCCAAGGCUCAUUAUGAAUAAAUAAUUUAGGAAAUACCUUCCUUUAAGAAUCUUUUUGCGAGUUUAAAGAAAAAAAAUUAUUUGUUUAGCUUGGUCACUAAGAACCCUGUUCAUUCCUAUCAAAAUCUAUAAAAAACUUUUUAAUGAA